rnacentral:rRNA from 1 species
CUCAGUAACACGUGGAUAACCUUCCCUUAGGACCGGAAUAACCCCGGGAAACUGGGGAUAAUACCGGAUAAGCCAUAGACGCUGGAAUGCCCUAUGGUUCAAAGCUCCGGCGCCUAAGGAUGGAUCUGCGGUCUAUCAGGUUGUAGUGGGUGUAACGUACCUACUAGCCGACGACGGAUACGGGUUGUGAGAGCAAGAGCCCGGAGAUGGAUUCUGAGACACGAAUCCAGGCCCUACGGGGUGCAGCAGGCGCGAACACUUUACAAUGCGGGAAACCGCGAUAAGGGAACCCCGAGUGCCAGCAUCAAAUGUUGGCUGUCCAGAUGAUUAAAAAUCAUUUGUUAGCAAGGGCCGGGCAAGACCGGUGCCAGCCGCCACAGUAACACCGGCGGCCCGAGUGGUAGCCGUUUUUAUUGGGUCUAAAGGGUCCGUAGCCGGCCUGAUAAGUCCUUUGGGAAAUCUGGCAGCUUAACUGUCAGGCUCCUAAGGGAUACUGUCAGGCUUGGGACCGGAAGAGGUAAGGGGUACUCCAGGGGUAGGAGUGAAAUCUUGUAAUCCCUGGGGGACCAUCUGUGGCGAAGGCGCCUUACCAGAACGGGUCCGACGGUGAGGGACGAAAGCUAGGGGAGCAAACCGGAUUAGAUACCCGGGUAGUCCUAGCUGUAAACGAUGCUCGCUAGGUGUCAGACACGGUGCGACCGUGUUUGGUGCCGCAGGGAAGCCGUUUUGCGCCACCUGGGAAGUACGGUCGCAAGGCUGAAACUAAAG